UAGUCAUAUGCUUGUCUCAAAGAUUAAGCCAUGCAUGUCUAAGUACUAGCAUUAAUACUGUGAAACUGCGAAUGGCUCAUUAAAUCAGUUAUGAUCUACUUGGCAUUCUAACUGCUUUGCUGCUGGAUAACCGCGGUAAUUCUGGAGCUAAUACAUGUGUAUAUAACGGUCGACGCCGUUGCGUAUAUUAGAUAAAAACCAACCUGGGGUAAAACCUGGUCUUUGGUCGCUCAUAGUAUCCUUGCCGGUCUUCAGUUUAAUCUGGAGCCAGUUCAUU
rnacentral:rRNA from 1 species